UGGGGAAUAUUGGGCAAUGGGGGAAACCCUGACCCAGCAACGCCGCGUGAGGGAAGAAGGUUUUCGGAUUGUAAACCUCUGUCCUUGGGGACGAAAAAAAUGACGGUACCCAAGGAGGAAGCUCCGGCUAACUACGUGCCAGCAGCCGCGGUAAUACGUAGGGAGCAAGCGUUGUCCGGAAUUACUGGGCGUAAAGGGUGCGUAGGCGGUUAUGUAAGUCGGAUGUGAAAUACCCAGGCUCAACCUGGGGGGUGCAUUCGAAACUGCAUGGCUUGAGUGCAGGAGAGGAAAGUGGAAUUCCUAGUGUAGCGGUGAAAUGCGUAGAUAUUAGGAGGAACACCAGUGGCGAAGGCGACUUUCUGGACUGUAACUGACGCUGAGGCACGAAAGCGUGGGGAGCAAACAGG
rnacentral:rRNA from 2 species